UGCCAGACUCCUACGGGAGGCAGCAGUGGGGAAUAUUGCACAAUGGGGGAAACCCUGAUGCAGCGACGCCGCGUGGGUGAAGGAGCGUUUCGGCGCGUAAAGCCCUGUCAGCGGGGAAGAAGAAAGACGGUACCCGACCAAGAAGCCCCGGCUAACUAUGUGCCAGCAGCCGCGGUAAUACAUAGGGGGCAAGCGUUAUCCGGAAUUAUUGGGUGUAAAGGGUGCGUAGACGGAAGAACAAGUUGGUUGUGAAAUCCCUCGGCUCAACUGAGGAACUGCAACCAAAACUAUUCUCCUUGAGUGUCGGAGAGGAAAGUGGAAUUCCUAGUGUAGCGGUGAAAUGCGUAGAUAUUAGGAGGAACACCAGUGGCGAAGGCGACUUUCUGGACGAUAACUGACGUUGAGGCACGAAAGUGUGGGGAGCAAACAGGAUUAGAUACCCCUGUA
rnacentral:rRNA from 1 species